rnacentral:rRNA from 1 species
CCUACGGGAGGCAGCAGUGAGGAAUAUUGGUCAAUGGACGCAAGUCUGAACCAGCCAUGCCGCGUGCAGGAAGACGGCUCUAUGAGUUGUAAACUGCUUUUGUACGAGGGUAAACGCAGAUACGCGUAUCUGUCUGAAAGUAUCGUACGAAUAAGGAUCGGCUAACUCCGUGCCAGCAGCCGCGGUAAGACGGAGGAUUCAAGCGUUAUCCGGAUUUAUUGGGUUUAAAGGGUGCGUAGGCGGUCGGAUAAGUUAGAGGUGAAAUCCCGAGGCUCAACUUCGGAAUUGCCUCUGAUACUGUUAGGCUAGAGAGUAGUUGCGGUAGGCGGAAUGUAUGGUGUAGCGGUGAAAUGCUUAGAGAGCAUACAGAACACCGAUUGCGAAGGCAGCUUACCAAGCUACGUCUGACGUUGAGGCACGAAAGCGUGGGGAGCAAACAGGAUUAGAUACCCCUGUAGUC